AAAAAGAAGAGAAGAGAAGAGAAACUUAGGCUAGAAACAAGGAAAGAGCUACGAUUUUGGGAGGAGAAAAAGGCAGCCCAAAACGUUACCAAACAGUCCCUAAGUUUCAGCUGCGCUAAAGGAAAUUCUGAGGCAAGUUUUGGCGAGUUUUGGUGAAUUUCGGGAAAGGUUCAAGAGACGACGAGGCGAGCAUAGUUAAGAGUAAUCCGUAAGAGGUACAGAUGAUUGGUUUGCUGAUCCGCUCGCUUAGGACAUCCACCAUGUUGGUCGACAGUGCUCCUUUGUUCGGAGUUCUAUUUUGGU